GUGGCUAUGAUGAGGAAAAGAUUCAAUGAUGUAUUAUGAUUACUCACACAUUGCAAUGCUCUGAGCCAC
rfam:Oryza glumipatula chromosome 10, whole genome shotgun sequence.